rnacentral:tRNA from 1 species
GUGGCAUUAGUGUAGUGGCUUCGCACUGCAACCUGUGGAGUUGCCGGGAGGAGUUCGAAUCUCCUAUGCCACC